CAGAAACUGAAGGACUUCCCGAAGGGCCUGACCUUCUCCUUCGCCAAGAAACCCGAAUUCGCCCACCUCAAUCGAGACCCCGAAAUCGUCCCAGCGGAUGGCAGGAUGAUUUUCCUCUACGUGAUGACCAGCGACUCUUGCUCUCAGUACAUCAACGCCACUUUCGUCAACGGAUUCGACAAAAAGGACGAAUUCGUAGCGAUGGAACACCCGAUGGAGCACACCCUCGACACAGCCUGGAGGAUGAUCUACGAGAGGAAGAUGCCAGUCUGGAUUCUCGUCCACGCCUUCCCCGAUCACGACAAGG